rnacentral:rRNA from 1 species
CCUACGGGGGGCUGCAGUGGGGAAUAUUGGACAAUGGGGGCAACCCUGAUCCAGCCAUGCCGCGUGUGUGAAGAAGGCCCUCGGGUUGUAAAGCACUUUCAGUGAGGAAGAACGCCUGGUGGUUAAUACCCAUCAGGAAAGACAUCACUCACAGAAGAAGCACCGGCUAACUCCGUGCCAGCAGCCGCGGUAAUACGGAGGGUGCGAGCGUUAAUCGGAAUUACUGGGCGUAAAGCGCGCGUAGGUGGCUUGAUAAGCCGGUUGUGAAAGCCCCGGGCUCAACCUGGGAACGGCAUCCGGAACUGUCAAGCUAGAGUGCAGGAGAGGAAGGUAGAAUUCCCGGUGUAGUGGUGAAAUGCGUAGAGAUCGGGAGGAAUACCAGUGGCGAAGGCGGCCUUCUGGACUGACACUGACACUGAGGUGCGAAAGCGUGGGUAGCAAACAGGAUUAGAUACCCUGGUAGUC